rnacentral:piRNA from 1 species
UUCAUUUUGUAGAAAUGAUGA